UACGUAGGCAGCGAGCGUUGUUCGGAGUUACUGGGCGUAAAGGGGGUGUAGGCGGUUGUUUAAGUUUGGUGUGAAAUCUCCCGGCUCAACUGGGAGGGUGCGCCGAAUACUGAAUGACUCGAGUGCGGGAGAGGAGAGUGGAAUUCCUGGUGUAGCGGUGAAAUGCGUAGAUAUCAGGAGGAACACCGGCGGUGUAGACGGCUCUCUGGACCGUAACUGACGCUGAGACACGAAAGCGUGGGUAGCAAACAGG
rnacentral:rRNA from 1 species